UACGAGAGGCCCAAACGUUAUUCGGAAUUACUGGGCUUAAAGAGUUCGUAGGCGGCAUGAACAGUAGGGUGUGAAAGCCCUCGGCUCAACCGAGGAAUUGCGCUCUAAACUGUCGUGCUAGAGGAACCUAGAGGUGAGCAGAACUGAUGGUGGAGCGGUGAAAUGCGUUGAUAUCAUCAGGAAUACCGGAGGCGAAGGCGGCUCACUGGGGGUUUUCUGACGCUGAGGAACGAAAGCCAGGGGAGCGAACGGG
rnacentral:rRNA from 1 species